UCUCAGUAACGAGACACUCACAUGUUUUACCUUCUACCCUCAAACCAGUUUAAAUGACAAGGUGAACACAGUUGAGCUGGCUUGGGGAGAAGAGGAAAAUAUGUUACAGAAGGAAAUGUCUUGGAAU
ensembl:snoRNA SNORD22 Small nucleolar RNA SNORD22